rnacentral:misc_RNA from 1 species
UGUACCCUCAAGCACUGCUUGGUGUUGGGCGCUUGUCCCGCAGCGGACUCGCCUGAAAGCGAUUGGCAGCCAACGCACUGGUGGUAGAGCGCAGCACAAUCUUGCGACUCUCCCUUGCGCGUCGGCGUCCAUGAAGCCUUUUCUCAAC